AGGCUUAACACAUGCAAGUCGAGGGGCAGCGAGGGUAAUAGCAAUAUUACCUGUCGGCGACCGGCGCACGGGUGCGUAACGCGUAUGCAACCUACCAUCAACAGGGGGAUAACACUGAGAAAUUGGUACUAAUACCCCAUAAUAUCUCAUGCGGCAUCGCAUGGGGUUGAAAACUCCGGUGGUUGAUGAUGGGCAUGCGUUGUAUUAGCUGGUUGGUGAGGUAACGGCUCACCAAGGCGACGAUACAUAGGGGGACUGAGAGGUUAACCCCCCACAUUGGUACUGAGACACGGACCAAACUCCUACGGGAGGCAGCAGUGAGGAAUAUUGGUCAAUGGACGCAAGUCUGAACCAGCCAUGCCGCGUGCAGGAUGACGGCUCUAUGAGUUGUAAACUGCUUUUGUACGAGGGUAAACCCCGAUACGUGUAUUGGGUUGAAAGUAUCGUACGAAUAAGGAUCGGCUAACUCCGUGCCAGCAGCCGCGGUAAUACGGAGGAUCCGAGCGUUAUCCGGAUUUAUUGGGUUUAAAGGGUGCGUAGGCGGUUUGAUAAGUUAGAGGUGAAAUGUCGGGGCUCAACCCCGAAACUGCCUCUAAUACUGUUGGACUAGAGAAUAGUUGCGGUAGGCGGAAUGUAUGGUGUAGCGGUGAAAUGCUUAGAGAUCAUACAGAACACCGAUUGCGAAGGCAGCUUACCAAACUAUAUCUGACGUUGAGGCACGAAAGCGUGGGUAGCAAACAGGAUUAGAUACCCUGGUAGUCCACGCAGUAAACGAUGAUAACUCGUUGUCGGCGAUACACAGUCGGUGACUAAGCGAAAGCGAUAAGUUAUCCACCUGGGGAGUACGUUCGCAAGAAUGAAACUCAAAGGAAUUGACGGGGGCCCGCACAAGCGGAGGAACAUGUGGUUUAAUUCGAUGAUACGCGAGGAACCUUACCCGGGCUUGAAAGUUAGCGACGACGCUUGAAAGAGCGUUUCCCUUCGGGGCGCGAAACUAGGUGCUGCAUGGUUGUCGUCAGCUCGUGCCGUGAGGUGUCGGGUUAAGUCCCAUAACGAGCGCAACCCCUACUGUUAGUUGCCAUCAGGUGAUGCUGGGCACUCUAGCGGGACUGCCGGUGUAAGCCGAGAGGAAGGUGGGGAUGACGUCAAAUCAGCACGGCCCUUACGUCCGGGGCCACACACGUGUUACAAUGGUAGGUACAGAGGGCAGCUACCCUGCGAAGGGGUGCGAAUCUCGAAAGCCUAUCUCAGUUCGGAUUGGAGGCUGAAACCCACCUCCAUGAAGUUGGAUUCGCUAGUAAUCGCGCAUCAGCCAUGGCGCGGUGAAUACGUUCCCGGGCC
rnacentral:rRNA from 1 species